rnacentral:rRNA from 1 species
CGGGGUGCAGCAGGCGCGAAAACUUUGCAAUGCACGAAAGUGCGACGAGGGUACUUCGAGUCCCGUCCGCUGAGGAUGGCUUUUGCCAAGUCUAAAUAGCUUGGAGAAUAAGGGGAGGGCAAGUCUGGUAUCAGCCGCCGCGGUAAUACCAGCUCCCCGAGUGGUCGGGAUGAUUAUUGGGCCUAAAGCAUCCGUAGCCGGUUCCCUAGGUCUCCUGUUAAAUUCAACGGGUCAACCGUUGAGCUGCAGGAGAUACCGCGGGGCUAGGAGGCGGGAGAGGCGGAAGGUACUCCGUGGGUAGGGGUAAAAUCCUCUGAUCCUCGGAAGACCACCAGUGGCGAAGGCGGUCCGCCAGAACGCGCUUGACGGUGAGGGAUGAAAGCUGGGGGAGCGAACCGGAUUAGAUACCCGGGUAGUCCCAGCUGUUAACGAUGCGAGCUAGGUGAUAGAAUGAUUUCGUAUCAUUCUAGUGCCGCAGGGAAGCCGUUAAGCUCGCCGCCUCGGGAGUACGGUCGCAAGAAGGAAACUUAAAGGAAUCGGCGGGCGAGCAC